UAUUUUUUGUCUUAGUGGACUCACUUGGGU
rnacentral:piRNA from 1 species